UACGUAGGGCGCAAGCGUUGUCCGGAAUUAUUGGGCGUAAAGAGCUCGUAGGCGGUUUGUCGCGUCGGCCGUGAAAACUUGGGGCUUAACCCCAAGCCUGCGGUCGAUACGGGCAGACUUGAGUUCGGCAGGGGAGACUGGAAUUCCUGGUGUAGUGGUGGAAUGCGUAGAUAUCGGGAGGAACACCAGUGGCGAAGGCGGUUGCCUGGAGCUUUGCUGACGCUGAGGCGCGAAAGCGUGGGGAGCGAGUCCGG
rnacentral:rRNA from 1 species